UUACCUUUUUAACGGGCUUGUGAGUGGGCACCGCGCUGAAGGCGGACGACAGCUCUUCCAUGUUCAUUUCAGUGUUCUUGCUCACCGUCAAGGCGGAAUAUUUCUCUGCGACAUUUUCGCUUUCUUUCACCUCUUUGCUCGCCUGCUUUGCCUCUCCGGUGGACUCCGACAUGUUGACCGAGACUGUCCGUUCUUUACCGGGCAACCAAAAAUUAAAAGGAGAGUCGAUCUUCCGUCGACGUCGCACUUCUGUUGUCUUCUUGUGACUUGUGCGUGCUGGUCAACGUCACAAACUCGUGUCAUCGAUGUCCUCGCGCCGGAAGCGGGAAAUUAAAGUCUUUUUUUGCUGAUUAUGGACAAAAAGAAUUCCUUUAGAAUUGUUGCUGUGGAAUGAUGCUGAGUUAUCUUGAAAGUGGUGGUGUCGUUCGUCAACUGUCACCUGGCUGGGUGAGAUUGUAGGCGGCAACCAAGCUUGGGGGCGUGUCCACAGCGUGUUGCGUUCACGGAAAGUCACAGACCCACCAUCCCCCCUCACCCUGAUUGACUCUCCCACCCCCGUCUCCAUUGUGGACUCCUUCAGUUUCUUGGGCACCACCAUCACCCAAGACCUCAAGUGGGAGCCGACCAUCAGCUCCCUCAUCAAGAAGGCCCAGCAGAGGAUGUACUUCCUGCGCCAGCUGAGGAAAGUUAAGCGGCAAAGUCCAGGAUAAGCAUCGACUGCGCGCAUCGUACGUGCUGCUGAGAAGGUGAUUGGCUGCAAGCUCCCGUCCCUCCAGGACCUGUUCUCCUCCAGGACCAGGAGGCCUGUGGGUCGGAUCACAGCUGACUCUUCUCACCCCCAACACAAACUAUUUUCCCCUCUCCCCUCAUGCAGGAAACUAUGGUCCAUUCAGACCCACACCUCCCGCCACCUGAACAGUUUUUUCCCCUGCGCCAUCAGACACAUGAACAAUAACUGUUACUUUUAGACCUCCACCCCAGAUCACACCUCACUCCAACCCACUUCUCCAAAGUGGGCUGGCUCAGGGUGGAGGACAGAGUAAAACAACUUGCACUGAGCCUAGUCUAUAAAGUCUGCUACACCUCCCUGAUACCGAAGUACAUGUAAAACUACUUUAAACCCAGAUUCCGAUUUAACAAACGUCUUAACUCAUUCUCUUUCUAUGCUACAUCAAUGUGGAAUGCACUCCCAACAGGUGUAAAAGUAAGUGCAUCUCUAUAUUCCUUCAAAACCGUUUUAAAACAACACCUCCAGGCAACAUCAACCCUUUACUAAUACCCUCCUCCAUUCACAUCCCAUCUCCCCGGAUUGUAAAUAACCUAAUGUAAAUAAUCAAAUGUACUUCUAAUAUAUUUACUUGUUCUUAUGCUAUCUGAACUCACUAUGUUCUCUGCUCGCUGUACAUAUUCUACCAAGUAAGACCUACACUGUUUCAAUGUCCAUUUCUCUGUUGAUGCAAUUGUUGAUGACUGAAGUACUGAUAUCAACCAAAGCUCAUCAUCUCACCCCCAGAUUGUAAAUAAUGUAAAUAAUUCAAUGUAUAUACUAUGAUGAUUAACCUGUAUGAUGACUGUAUUAUGCCUCAUAUAUAACCUCAUAUAUGCCUUUUUCAUACAGUACAUCCAUUUCUUGUUAAAGAAAAAACGUAUUGUUGUUGGUACAUAAAUAAAAUCAUUUUAAAUAGAGUCAGUCAACCUGAAGAAAGCAGCAUGAUUAUUUUCGUAAAGGCAGUAUUUUGGAUUGCAUGUCAUUAGAUUGUGCAAGUGUACCGAAUGGCCAUUAGGUGUUUUAAGAUCGCAAUCUGUGAUGGUGGAAAUGUCUGGAAAUGACGUUUCAAUGUCCAUUUCUCUGUUGAUGCAAUUGUUGAUGACUGAAGUACUGAUAUCAACCAAAGCUCAUCAUCCUACCCCCCGAAUUGUAAAUAAUGUAAAUAAUUCAAUGUAUAUACUAUGAUGAUUAACCUGUGUGAUGACUGUAUAAUGCAGAUAGUAUAUAUUUGUACCAUGAAUCGAUUAAC